rnacentral:rRNA from 1 species
UACAGAGGGGGCAAGCGUUAUUCGGAAUUAUUGGGCGUAAAGGGCGCGUAGGCGGCUUUGCAAGUGACGGGUGAAAUCCCUCGGCUUAACCGAGGAACUGCCUGUCAGACUGCAUGGCUUGAGACCGGGAGAGGUGAGUGGAAUUCCCAGUGUAGCGGUGAAAUGCGUAGAUAUUGGGAGGAACACCAGUGGCGAAGGCGGCUCACUGGACCGGUACUGACGCUGAGGCGCGAAAGCGUGGGGAGCAAACGGG